ensembl:rRNA n-R5s156 nuclear encoded rRNA 5S 156
UAAGGCCAACGUGAACGCGCCUGAUCUCGGAAGCUAAGCAGGAUCGGGCCUGGUUAGUACUUGGAUGGGAGACCGCCUGGGAAUCGGUUCUUCAU